rnacentral:rRNA from 1 species
GACGGAGGGUGCUAGCGUUGUUCGGAAUCACUGGGCGUAAAGGGCGCGUAGGCGGCCACUGCAAGUCGGUUGUGAAAUCUCCGGGCUUAACCCGGAAAGGUCAAUCGAUACUGCAGGGCUAGAGUGCAGAAGGGGCAACUGGAAUUCUCGGUGUAGCGGUGAAAUGCGUAGAUAUCGAGAGGAACACCUGCGGCGAAGGCGGGUUGCUGGGCUGACACUGACGCUGACAGCGCGAAAGCUAGGGGAGCGAACGGG